UCCCUUAACUGUCCAAAACUAGUUCCUAGGAAGUCAAAAAAAGGGAUGGGAUGUGUGAUAUCCAUCACUGUUCCCGACUGGUGUGUGAGAAGUCUCUCUAGCUGCUAAUUGGGAAACAGUUCUGUGGAAUUUCAAAAGAACUCUCAAUUUCAAAGCAUAGUGAUUCCAGAUCCAACAGAAAUAUGAAGACAAGCAGUGGCUCCAAUCUGCAACGUUUUACACUUUUAAAUGCUUGCUAUGGAUUUUUACUACAAAUUUCAGUCUUGGUUCCAUGUACUGAACCCA